rnacentral:lncRNA from 1 species
CAUUUGAUCUCGGCCGUUGCAUUCAGGGCAAGAAAGCUUUGACGCUUACUUGACCCGAUUCAGGAACCUAAGUAUCCAUUUUAAGGAUACAAUUCCAGAGGACAGGCUCAUUGCAACCUGUAUAAACGGGUUGCGGUUUUGGCUUCAGACCUAUUUGAUCUCGGCCGGCCUCCCGGAAGCGAAUGAUCUGAUAUUUCACCCGGGCGGCAUCGGAAGCAAGUGAUCAAAUUGGAAUUCCUGUUCUUCCGAUCCAAUGCCAUCAACGGGAGCUGAACUAAACCUGUCCUCAUCCACCCUUGUAGAAGCCCUUCCCUCUGCCCGGGUAGAACAUUGAUUUACAGCUUUUUUAUGUCGACUGUGAAGAGCAGAAAGAGCCUUUUAUAGCUUCAAAGAUAAGACUUGGGAUUAUUGAAUGAAGGAAUGAAGGAUAUUAAACCCCAUUCUUAUUCCCACCCAACCCGAGCAAGCAACCCGGUUCUACGUCCCUUUUUGAGAAUAAUCACCAAAGCCCCGACCUCAUUCAUUAGUGUUGAUUAGAAGAGGGCCUAAUAACCAUACGACCGACGGGUCGUAAUACAACCAACCCUUGAAUUCAAUAUGAAGGGUGCCAGUUCCGGCUUGCUCCGCACAGGCUACACGAUUCCAGGGAAGGUGAAGAGACGGCUACGAAGGGACCAAGCCCAAGCUGAUCCCCAUUGCCAUCUUCUUUUGCAUCUGUUGAAUCCGCUUUCCCAGUUGGUAGUCGGCGGGAGGUGGAGAUUAGUUCGUUGCUUCAGGAGAACAAAUAGGUGGGGCACCUAGGUUCUUCGGAUGGAUAGGGAAAUCUAAACCUUGAGUCAGCGCAGGUGACGUCUAGCUUCCAAGCAUGGGAUAUCCAGGAGGGGAUGACAGAGAAUUUGAUUUCAACAUGGGUGGAGGCAGCCAUAUUCUAGAAAGAUUUAUGACCGAUGGAUCUGGUACUGGAUAAUUGAUUCAUUGUUUCGCCCCUCCCGGUCGGUGUCAAGCAGAUGGCACUUCGGAAGAUGGAUUCCAAUAGCUUGGUCUCCUUCUCAAGCUUCCACCCACGUUCUUCACUUCUUUCCAUCGGCCCACAGGGAGAGGAAUCAGGGGCUUACUACCCGCACAUUGGACCUGGGAGCGGAAUGAAGAGAUUUGGAUUAUAAGUGGGAUGGCAUAGGAUUGAACCUAGAGUAUGAAGAUGCAGGGGGAGAUGGCCACAGAUGCCCAGAUACUGGUACUGGUGAAGAGAAGACAAGUUGUAGAGUUCCGGUGAAGGAGGAAGAGCUUUAGUAACGAGAUUUGGAAAUAGAUUGAUAGAUUGAUAGUUGGCUGGUACCUCCCUCGCCUCUGGUGGUGCAAUAGAAGAUGGUGGAGCCUCGUUCAAUGCUGCUUAGCCGCUACUGGCCAACUUGCUUCCAUAUCAAGUUCUGGUCCAUUGUUUGCUCGAACUCCCUACCAAUGGGGAAUAGGAGCUAGCAUCUGAUCACCUUGGUUCCGCUUGGCACUGAAAUGAUAUUAGUCGGUCAUUGCCUCGGAUUCGGUCCACUUCCUUAUUAUACGGAGUCACUUCCAUCGCUAGCUUCCAUUGACUUCGAACCUUCCCUGGCACCGGAGAUAGAAGAAGAUGGCUUCUCGGGCAUCCCUGUUCCAUCGGUUAUCUGUUGGGCUUGGGAUGCUUCCAUCGUGUAUACUUGCAAUAAAAGGACUCGAAUAAGAGCUGUGGGCAUAGCAGCUUCAACCGAAUUGUCCUCCUCUUCUUCGACCAACCUAUAAUGAGAUUUUCAACCCCCUGCCUAUGAUUUAUGAAUCAAGAAGUCCUGCCUUCGGCUAUUCCUUCUAUCCCUCCCGGCCGGAAACAUCUCGUAGAUAAAGUGAGUUCCCGAUAUCGGAAAUUCUUAUUAUUCGAUCCCCCACUCGAGCUAUGUUGGACGGUCUAUUACCCGCCCAACCCAUAGCUCGAGCUGGAUUCAGACAUCAAGGCCGGGAAGAAGCAAGGGUGUAUACCUUACAUACAUAAUACCUAAUUUUACACUGAUCCUUUUUCAUAAGGUGGACCUUAUUCGAAAUUUCCACCCACCCAAUCCUAAUGCAGUAGCUCACCGAAGGUAGGCCCUCACCAAUAGCAAGGGUAGCCUGGGAACAGCAUAAGUAGUUUCCUAAGCACCACCAGCGUGGUAAAUGGCAGAGGCCACAGGAGGAAAGGAUUUUUUACCAAUUGAUAUAGUUUAUCUUGAUCCAUCAGUCGAAGAACCAGUUUCCCUUCGCUCAGUACCAUACGCACCACCAAUAGUAUCAGCAGCAUCUGUAGCUAAGAUAUAAGUAUACCUAGUCUAGUAUAAGAUCCAGUAGUUCCAGCUUAUCUACCAAGAGCUAAGGUAUCUAUCGGUAACACCAAGAACAAAGGCAGGAACAUAGGCAUAAGCAAAGCCAUAAGUAUAGGUACCUAGUAGAGGAUUAACUACUCAAUUAAAAUAAAAGAAAAGAAAAUAGAAAUUAAUAAAUAGAAAUAAAGGGUGGUCGAAGAUCAGGUGGAGAAAUCAAAGCCCUUCUUUUUCCUCCCACCCUGGCGCUUGCUUUGUCUCUGCCUAUGCUCUAGCUACCUACUAUGCUCCAGCUGCUGCCAUCUUUGCUCCAACCUUUACCUCCGUGGGAUCCACUGGCAUUGGUUCUCGAACUGCAACUGGAAAUUGAACAUUUAAGUCUGCCUUUGCCGCAGGCUCUGCUGCGAGCUCCGGUACUUGAAUUGGCUCGGAUGUUGGAACAAGCUUUUGAGCUCCAACUGAAUCUAAGUAAACGAGGACAACUGGGUAUGCAACCAACUCUCGUUGGUUCUGAAUCAACGGGUGAACCCGCUACCUCCACCUUUGCUUCUGGCUUUAAUGCAUGCUCUCUCACAUGGACUAAAUAUCGAUCUGCGCCUAGAUACCUUGCCACUGAAUCCGCUGCUGGAACUUAGUCAGCUACAUCUUGAACCGCUGCUACCUUCCUUUCCGCUGCUUUCUCUGCUGGUGGUUCCGGAUCAACCUCAAUUGGUGCUUCUCACUUUUAUGCUGUGGGGUAAGCUGCUCCUGCAGGCACGGGAUCUUCUAUUGAUAUAUAAUUUUUGACUUAUAGCUUUGCCACGAGGUCUGCUGCUAGCUCUAUCUAUGCCUCUAUUGCUUCAACCGAGUAAACCGUUGCUCUUGUCUAUGCUUCCUCUUUUUUUCAUGCAAUAAACCCAGGCGACCUUUGCCUCUUAAGCCUCUGCCUUUCCUCCUGCUGCUCGAACUCCAACUGGAUAUGGAAAAGGAAUGGGCCCCCUAUAGGUGAUGGCUUUGGAUCUCGACCUGGACAGGCGCUGAUCCUGUUCCAUAGCACACGGCAUCCCUUCCAGUCUCUGUAGACGUUCCAUAUACAGAUCCAAUUUCAGUUGGAAACCCAUAGCCCUUAGUAGCGGACGCAGCUGCAGAUUAAGUAGCCACGGCAGGCGCAGGAGCAAUUCCCUUAUUAUCACAGACCACCUGUUCAUAAUCGAUCUUCUUUGUAGCGCUUUCGGUUGCCUUCCUUGGAGGUCAGGAAGAAAGCUUUCAAUGGAGAAAGGGGAAAAGGGAUUGGCUUUCUAUUACGGUUCUUCCUUUUGCCCUGGUUAUUAAAUAGGCGAUUAUGAUUCCAUACAUCAUUCUUACUAGUUAGUUGAGGGCAAAGUGACUAGCGGGCCUACGAUCAGACCUAAUCAAAAACUAUACGCGGACCUACUCGCUCUCUUAGAAGCUGUCUUUGAUUAAAGCUCACUUGGAACGUCGCUCGUUUGGAACCCUGUCCCUCUGAAACUCACUUUGCAUCUUGGAUGACAGGGCCCCUGGUGCCAGCGGUCGGCACCCAACGGAGCUUUAGUAUUCUAUUAGUAGCUGGGCCGUCAAAAGCAAGGUUGGUCGUAGAUCAGCUGCGCUGAUGACGAUGCUAUCAUAAGAAAGGACCAGGCUGUCCCCGGGAAGAUUGAGCGGGUCCUAAGAGAUUUUGAGGAUGUCAUGCCUGCCUAAGAUCGUAGUAGAGCACCCUGAUUUACAAUCAGCCCUCUCCUAGAGCACUUCUGAUCAAAGAUCAGCCUUCUCGUUCCGACCACUUCUGAUCAAAGAUCAGCCCUCUCGUAGACCACUUCUGAUCAAAGAUCAGCCUUCUCGUUCCGACCACCCUGACUUUCCUAAUUUCAUAAACGAACUCAACUGUCUCGAGUGAAGGAACUAAUGCCAGCUUCUUGUACUCUUCGUGAUAGUUAGCCCGCCCCUCUGAGUUCGAGUUGAGGAGUGAGCUCUAGUUCCUUGUCUUACUCACUCGAUAGUCGUAGCUGCUAUCCCAAUAGUUGUAGCUUGCUUCUCUUAUGUUGAGAGCAAGGUCUUCCUCAUCUUACUAAAGGUAAGUAAUACAUUGUCUUUAAUCCACUUAAGAGUCAUCUAUUUGCGCUUGUCUUUCCUUCUUUCCUUCCUUCUUCUAGUCCCUUUAAGAGAUAGGGCAACUCAAGAACGUCUAUUAAAGCAUAGCUCUUCAAACUCUUAUUCGCUUUCAUACGCUUCUUGAUUGAGCAAUGCAUCUCGCAUUGUGAUAACUUACUUUGAUAACUGAAAAACGGUAAGGGGAAGGAACUCUUCUAGAGUCGAGUAAUUAAUAGUGGCGUAGGCAUUCCGGCCUUUAACCUGCUUAGCCAAGCUCCCUCGUCUCCGAAGAAGCAAGCAAGGUGGCGAUGAUGGAUCGAUCCCAGCUGAUCGUAGACCACUAAGAUCUACGAGCAACCUGAUCUUCGACCACCCUGUCCCUCAAUCAGGGCAAGUUGAGGCAUUUCUUCUUUCUUUCAAGCAAGAUGAUUCCUGUCAUGACAAGAAAAGCAGAAACCAAGCCAAGAUCCAUAAUAAUAAAACAAAACAACAAUUAGAGAAUCAAAGGGUGAUUUUCAGUCCAUUAUUUCUUGCCUUGCAUCAUAGGUAAGGCGAGAGCUUCAAGCCCGAUUUCUGGUGGCACACCCUCCACACAAGCACCACCCGACGAAGAUCUUUGGGAUCUGGAACUAGUGAAUCUGCGGGCAAGAUGCUGCCACUUUGACUGCUGCCUCUCUAGCUGCUGUUGGUAGCUAUGCAUUUGGCAUAAGAAAAGGAUAUCAAAUUGGGACAGGGAUAGGCUCUCAGGAGGGGAUGCCACGGGCCCUGGAUCUAUUAUAGGCUCUAGAGCAGAUGCAGCCUCAAUAGCUACUAGCUCAUAUGCUGGUGGGACUGGAUACCUGGAUAAGCAUCAUAUAACACUAAAUCUCCAUCUCGAACCCUACUACCGACAGGUCAAAAAUCCAGUGCUAGUAGUUUAGGAUCCUGAUGAAGUUCCAUCUACGGAGGCACAAGCAGCAUCUAAGCAAGCAGAGGCACGCCCCGUGGCGAAGGCAAAGUCAGAGCAAGUUUAUUAGGGUGGGUGGGAACAAGAAGCCACCCGCGGGAGAACAAGACAGGAAGACAGACGGGGCGGAGAAAGCAGUAAGGCAGAAGGACAAGAAAAGGACGGUCAAACAGGCCUGGAACGGAAAGGGCAGGAAAUAAAAUAGAAGUUUGGGGUUUAGGUGGCAUGGAAAAGUGACAUCGAGGAACAACACUUCUUAUUCCCACCCAACUUAAUAAAAGAACCCACCCAGGGGAUAUAUGUCUUCGUCUUGAUAAAUCAAUGGCGGGGUCGGAAAAAGAUAGUAGGUGUAUUUGAUGUGGAUAAAUCUACUUUCACCUCGAUCACUACCCCUGUGUCUGAUCUGGAGGUAAUGUGUGAGCAAAUGGGUUUGAUUGUGAACAACCUAAAAGUCUUGCUCAAACGUUACCUACCCUUCCUCCCAACCAUACCUCUGUAUCAAGGUAUGACUUGGGAUCCGACCUGGAAGGCCUUACCUACGCACCCAUUGACUCAACGGUGUUGGGUCCAAAGAUUAGGCAAGAGCGUGAAGCAGGUCCGAAAUAUUCGUUCUUGCUUGACUUCUCUUGCUUAUGAACUAGCGAGUUUUGAUUUCUUGCUAGUCGGGCCUCAUACUUAUGGAGAGUCAUGGCCGCAGGGUACCUUGUGGCCUCCCACAGUACGAUAUGUGUAUGACAAGUUUAACGACUUGUUAAGUGCGUGGGAUCUGGACUGGUUUACUAGCCGAGUCCAUCCCCACUUGCCAUCACCAUUCGACUAUGGGAUUCCACCAGUUACUGGCCGUCUCGGUCAGACUAUUGAGGGAGGAGGCAAAAGGAGAAUAUUCGCCAUUGGUAACUAUGUCAAUCUCAAUCAGAGGCUGCUGAAGCCGGUCCAUGACUGGCUAAUGCAAGUGCUUAGGAGGAUUCCCAUGGAUGGAACCCUCCAUCAGCACAAACCUCUUGAUCGACUAGUUGGCAAUCAAACCUGUUACUCUUUCGAUUUGAAAUCUGCCACCGAUAGGUGGCCAGUAUUAUUUCUCUUCGAAGUGUUUAAGGUUUGUUUUGGUCAGCCGUUCGCUUCUAGUGUUGUUAAUUCAGCACUAGCCUUUAAUUUCUUUGAGGUCCCAUUCGUAAAGAAGAAGGACUCUCCAGUCUAUUUUAGGGGCGGACAGCCGCUAGGAUAUUACUCCUCUUGGCCUUUGUUUACACUUACUCACCAUAUUAGAAUUUGGUGGUGUGCCGAGCAGAUAUACCCAGGUCAGCUUUUUGACAGGUAUGCAGUACUCGGUGAUGAUGUACUCAUUACCGAUCAGGAAGUAGCCAGAGUGUAUGAGACAGCGCUUGGUCGAUUAGGGGUUUCGAACAAUUAUCAGAAAUCCUUGAUCUCCACCACUGGCUCAGCGGAGUUCGCUAAAAGGUUUAGAGUCCGGGGAUUGAGUAAGGACUUAAGUCCGAUAUCCAUCCUCCAUCUAACAAAUUCCUUCCGGACUGAUGAGUGUCCAAAUGACUUACCCUUGCAACAGGUUAACAACCUUAGCGCGGGUUGGUGGAGCCGGCUUUCGCCAAUUAGCGACUUUUGACCAUAAGCGGAACCGUCACUUCGAAAGGGUUCUGGCUAUGUACACUAAGCAAAGGCUCCCGUUUGAGCUAUGGCUUGGACGGGGGUCUCCUCUUAACCCAACUCUUAGAGGUGUCAUUAUUGACCUCUUGAGGCGAGAGAUGAAAGCCCGGGGGCUGACAUUGAUACCCGACGAUCUAUUUGAAGUCGAGUCAAUGAAGGAAUUCCUUGAGUGGACCACCCGGGUUCGGGACUUGUUACGGUACUGUCGUUGGUACUACUGUACCGCGAUUGACCCAAGGGUAACGAUUGAGGAGUUCUUUAAUGCUCCAGUCAACAAUCGGAAAUGGAAGGUUGAUCGGACCGAUUCUAUGUUGGUUCGAUUUGGCCUUUUAUGGAAGGUAUAUGACUUGGUUGCAUGUUGAGGGGUUUAUUUCAGGUUACCAAUACUGGAGUUACCUUCUCCUUCACCAUUAGGUGAAGUGUAUCUCCUCGGUGGUGCAUCUGGUACAGAAUACUUGGUAGCAGCUCGUGGUUUAGAACAACCUAGAGCUGGGAAAGGUGUCGUGCGUCCUGGAGUAUAAAGACUUUAUGGAACCGACACUUCUCAGACCAUCAGAUGGUUGACUUUAGGCGUCUCGGGAAGCCUUUUUCUUAAAAGACUUUCUGCGACCGGUGAGAAACCUAUCUACAGGACGACUUUCGGGGUUAAAGGAACACCUUUCUCUUUCAUAUUGAGUUCUCAGAGGUGCGGCCCACUUGGUGUCGGACCAGCUCGACGGGUCACUCAAUAGUCUUUCGCGGAGUACCCCUGUUUUAGUGAACCCUGGGAGUUGUCGGCGGCUCGACGAUCUGUAUUCCAAAGCUUCACCUUGUGCAAACAGAUGUUUUUUAAAGGGGCAUGCCUUGGCUCAGAAAGGCUUUCGAUGUUUUGAUCCUUCUUCUCGUUCUCGCCGGCCCGGCAUGUUACCUUCCAUGAGCACGAGUUCUUCUACUCCCCCUUAUUUUAGUAGGCGCGCCUAUUGGAUCAGCAUCUUCUGGAUCUUCUUCACCAGUGGUUUUUCCUGCGCCUUCCGUGCAUCAGGGGAGUCAGAAUCCCAAGGGAAUCAGGGUCGCAGCCCUCUAUUGAGCAGCUGGAAACCAGCCUCGCUCUUCUAAUAAUAAAGAGCAGCCUGCAUCUUUAUCAUCUUAUAGUAACGACCAGUUGCCUACGGAUUCUCCUUCAUCCUCUAUCGCAGCAGAGCCAUUUCCAUCUCUGCGCUUGAAUGGUUCUCCCCGGCCCUGCUCUAUCAGCAGGCCCUUCCUUUUGCAACCAGUGGCAUCGCAUCUCGCAUAUCAAGUUCCUCUAUCGAUAACGUCGUAAUAUAGCCCAAGACAGAGAACAUGGUCGGUAGGUAAUUCAUCUUCGUUUGGAUAGCAGUACGGUACACGCAUCAAGAUAUGAUCUUUGCUUUUCCAUCCCAGGCAUUCAAAAGAGGCAAAGGGAGAGUCCAAAGCACUCUGUAGAUAAAGAUCGAGAGCCUGUGGACCGGGGUUGAACCAUAUCCUUUUUCUUUUGAUCGAGAGUGCCUAGAAGUUAACCGAAAAUGUUGUGUGGAAAACUUCCCUGAUGCUGUGAGGCGGAGAUAGCUGCACUUCUUAGGAAAAAGCCUGAGAAGAUAUAGAGAAUUUACCGGGAGAAAAGAGUCAGCAACAACAAGAAAUUCUUCUUGCCCUCCUACUAGACCACUUUCCUAAUUGCCCAUUGAACUGGUGGAAUACAUCGCACCUUUGCUCACUCCAUGCUCGUAUUCGUUUCUUGCAACAGCCCCUUUCUUUCUAUUCCAUCUUACUGCAGGGAACUGGCCUCACAGAGCAUCAUAGUCAGCACGAUAGCCCCAAACAUAGUAGCCACGAUAGCUUUGGUUAUUACAUAUAAAAGGAGAACGUGCCCAUUCAUGCGGAGGAUCUACCGGGAGUUUCGACUCCCCUCCCUAAUGGAUUUAGAUUAUAGGGCAGGAGCCAGUGUUGGCUUGUGCGAAGUCGACAGGGGUGGUUGAUAAACACGUUUUAUUGGGAUGGGGCAGCAGGCCAUGUCUGAGGAAUUUCCAGUCUUGCAGAAGACGUCGUUCAUUACCUUAUCAGAUAGAGAGGGGUUCCAAACCUCUUCCUGACGGAAAGACCACUAUUGAGGGAAUUCAGAUUGGUAUCGAUUCUGAGAAGACUUUUGCCCCCCCCUACUUAAGAAUCCAAAGGUGACUUUUGUACGGGCUCUGAUUGCAGUUGCCACAGUGAUAAAGUAGCCUUCGUUCCAGUGAGAUGUGGGGAAUGCUUUUCUGAAUGGAAAACUACAUGAGGAGGUUUACAUGCCACCUUCGCCAGGGUGAUCAGUUUCUUCACAUCUAGUUAGUCGACUCAGGAAGGCGUUGUAUGGACUAAAACAAGCAAACUCCGGCUCGAAAGCAAGAAGCAAGGUUGGUCGUAGAUAAAUUUAUCAUUUGGUUCAUUCCCGUCCUCCUUUCUUUAGGAGGUCAAAGAUUCAGUCCUUUCUCUUAUAGCAUUACUAGGAGUUAGCCUUCUUGCUCUUGGAUUUCUCCCCUAUAUUCAAUAGUAAGGAUUCCAAACUAUUGAAUUACAAUACCUAACAUCUGCAUCGUCAAUGCAUAUAUAUCUAGGGGAAUCAGUUGCCGUUGUUCUUUUGAAGGUUAUACCGGACGAUUCUAGUAAUGGUAAUGUUAAUAUCAUUCUAUCAUCCUGUUGCACUAUAUCAAGAUAGGACACCUAAGAAUAGAUUCGAUCUUGCUGCUAGGCGCAUGAAGCUAUGAUAGAGAAUGUCUUUCCUUUAGGACUUCCCUUGAUCUUCCUUAAGUCCCUUUCAGUUCUCUAAGGUUCUUCCCUCGUCCUGUUGUUCUGAAUCCUCCCUUCAGUUGGCGAACUUGACAGUUGAGUCUUAUUUUGACUCCCCUGCCGUUCUUUCGCGCUAAAGCAAGAGAAUUAGGAGUUCGCGGCUUCUUUCUUCCCUUGAUUUAGAGCUAGGAAGCCAACCUGAAUCCAAUUAGCAUCCAAC